rnacentral:tRNA from 1 species
UGUAGAGUAAGCUAAGAAAGCUCCCGGACUCAUAUUUCGGAAAUGGAGGCGAGAAUCCCCCCUCUACUA